ACUACAGGUGCCCACCACUAUGCCUGGCUAAUUUAUUUGUUUAUUUUUUUGUAUUUUAGUAGAGACGAGGUUUCACCAUGUUGCCCAGGCUGGUCUCAAACUCCUGAGCUCAGGCACUCCACCCGCCUCAGCCUCCAAAAGUGUUAUGAUUACAGGCGUGAGCUAUCGUGCCCAGCCGCAGAUGGGUUGUAGUUUUAAACAGGAUAGUCACGGUGACCUCAUUGAAAAGGUAAUGUGAGCAAAGACUUGAAGGAGGUAAGGGGAUUACCAUGUGGAUAUCUGUAAGAAGAGUGUUAAUAGGCAGAUGAAACAGCUAGUGCAAAGCUCCGAAGCUGGAAGCAUGCUUGGUGUGUUUGAGAAACAGCAAAGAGGCCAUUGUGACUGCAGUAGAGUGAGCAGGGGGAAGAGUGCUGGGAAAUGAAGUCAGAGAGAUAAUGGUGACUUGAUCCUGUAGGGUUAUGGGUGCCAUUGUAGGGACUUUGAAAUGGCAAGCAGAACAGAGGAGUGACAUGAAGUGACUUACGUUUAAGAAGGAUUACUCAGGUUGCUGUGUUGAUAGAAGAACAAGGGAAGGAGCAGAGAGAUCAGUUGAGAGGCUAUGCUGCUGCCCAGGCAAGAAAUGAUGACAGCUUAGGCCAGAGUGGCGGCAGUGAGUUAGUGAGAAAAGAUAUAUUUCGAAGGUAGAGUCAGCAGGAUUUCUUGAUGGACUGGAUAUGGGAGGGAAGAGAAGAGUUAAGGAUGACACAUGAAUGAUUGAAGUUGGAAGUGCCUGAGUUUAGAGUUUGGGAGUAGUUUGGCCCUCAUUGUCUUAUGCCCCAGCUUUAGGGGGUGGCCAGGGGCAUAACCAGAAUAAUGAGUGGACUAGUCAUAUCUUGUAAAUGUUUGUGAAGCCAUAAAUUUCUUCUUUAAGUUCAAGAGGAGCUAGUCAACAAAGGGAAAGUUUGGACUUAUCAGAAGUGUCUGAAGUAGAGUCUAAUUAUGGUGCCACUGAAGAGGAUUUAAUAACAUCUGCAUCAAAAACAGAAGAGCCCUUGUCAAAAAAGAGAGAGUACCAGUCUUCCUCCUGUGUCUCCUCCACAUCCUCUUCCUAUUCUUCCUCUUCUGAAUCCAGAUUUUCUGAAUCUAUUGGUGAGCCGAAGAACUAUAAUAAUGAGUUUUUUCCAUUUGAAUUCAGACUCCUCUUUAAGACAUCUUAGUCUUAACAGGAGUUCUCCUACUAUAUCUCCUUUCCAAUUUUCUGGUCUUAAUUACUUUCUUUUUGCUUCUUAAUUUCCCCUGUACUACUUCUUCACUUUGGUUAAGUGUGGCCGUGGCCUCUUUGCUCAUUGUAAAAAGUGGUUUCUUGCUGAUGAACCCUUUCCCUCCUUGCUUCCUGUUACCUCUUUCCACCCACACCAUAGGAUUUACCAGCUCUUACCCAGCUUUUACAAGUCUAGACAUGCUUUUCUGAAGCAUUCCUCCCUAUAUAGGUUAUUUGGACUGGGAAACUCUUGUGCACGAGAAUCUGCCCAGGCUAAUGGAAAUGGAUCAGGAUGACCGUGUUUCACCCAGAGACUCACUCUUCUGAUAUUUUUGAGUUGCUAGGAAAGCUUCAGUAUAACCUAGAGGAGCGUAAGAAGUUACAAGAGUUUGCAGUGCAGGCACUGAUGAACUUGGAAGACAAGUAAAGCAAUGGAUGGCUUCAAUAUCCUUGGGCCCAGCAAAAGAUAAUGAAGGGAAUUGUUGGAAAUAGAGAAUUGAAAAUAUAAACAUUCAGAUAGAACAAUGUCUGUUCAUUAAAAUUAAAAAGUAUAAGUGUCUAGGCCGGGCGCGGUGGCUCACGCCUGUAAUCCCAGCACUUUGGGACACCGAGGCGGAUAGAUCACCUGAGGUCGGGAGUUCAAGACCAGCCUGGCCAACAUGGUGAAACGCUGUCUCUACUAAAAAAUACAAAAAAAAAAUUUAGCCGGGUGUGGUGGCAGAUGCCUGUAAUCUCAGCUACUCUAGAGCCUGAGGCAGGAGAAUCACUGGAACCUGGGAGGCAGAGGUUGCAGUGAGCCAAGAUCGCACCACUGCACUCCAGCCUGGGCAACGGAGUCUCGGUCUCAAAAAAAAAUAUAUAUAUAUAUAUAUAUAUAUAUAAGUGUCUAAUAGAUGCUCCUAGUAGCUGCUCAGUAGUCUGCCUCUGAGAUAAGGGAUAUUGAAAGGCAUAAAGUCAAGCAAAAGAGUUAGUUCAAGCUGAGUGUGGUGAUGUGUGCCUCUAGUCCCAACUAUGAGCUGAGGCAGAAUUGUUUGAGGCCGGGAGUUGGAGGCUGCAGCAAGCUAGGAUCAUACCACUGCAUUCCAGCCUGGGCAACAUAGCAAGACCCUAUCUCUAAAAAAGAACAAAACAAGUUAGCUCAGAUGCCAGCAGAGUCUGUGCUCCUUAGCUUUCUACCCUUUCCACAGCUCCUGAAUCUGACUCAUUUCUUGACUUUAUCAUUAUAGCUUCCACCCUUCCUGCAACCUCUACUGCCUGAUUAGAGUCCUAAUUUUACCCUCUCCCUCCCUGAUGCGUAGGUAAAGGCCUCUCUGUGGAGUAAGGAGAUCUUCAGAGCUGUUAGUGUAACUAAUUGAGAAGUAUUGUUUCCAUUGCGUGUUCUACUCAUGUUGCUUCUCUUGUGAACCAUUAACUUUAAUUGGAUAUUAUUUUUACCUGUUUCUGGACCGAAAGUCUCUUUAUUUUAUUUUGCCAUUGCUCAGGGCAGUGUUCAAAUCAGUAAGUGUUGUACAGGUUUUUAGUGUUAGAAGGGAUUUCAGAGUUAAUCUAUCUCCCAUCAAAGCAGGAACACCUUUUAGAACAUCACUGAAAGGAGGAUUAUCCAGGUAAUGCUUAAUGUUUCUAGUUAUUUGGGAUUUAUUAUCUAGAAGGGAUCCCAUUCCAUCGUUAGAAGACUUAAGUCUUUAGACAUGUUUAUUAUUAAAAAUUAUAUCACUUA